AUCUUGUAUUUGGUUUACUAGUUUUCAUAUAUGUUCAAAUUUAUUAUUGAAAAUUAUUGUAUUUACAUUUGAUUAGGGUUUUGAUUUUCAUUAUAGGGCUUGUUAUUCAUCGAGUCUGAUCUAGACUUGCUGUGAGUGAACUUAAGAUUCAGAGGUUCUCAUCUCUUCCAUAAACGAUGGCUCGAGCUUGGUGUGGAUGAUUUGGAUCUGAUCUAGGGUUAUGUUUCUCUCAGAGUUGAAGAUGGACCUGAAUAGAACAGAGAGGCAUAUACUGAAGGAGAUGGGUUUCAUUUGCCAUGUUGAACAUCCUCAUAAAUUUAUAUCAAACUAUCUUGCAGCCCUUGAGGCAUCC